rnacentral:rRNA from 1 species
UGGGGAAUUUUGGACAAUGGGCGAAAGCCUGAUCCAGCAAUGCCGCGUGUGUGAAGAAGGCCUUCGGGUUGUAAAGCACUUUUGUCCGGAAAGAAAUCCUCUGGGUUAAUACCUCGGGGGGAUGACGGUACCGGAAGAAUAAGCACCGGCUAACUACGUGCCAGCAGCCGCGGUAAUACGUAGGGUGCAAGCGUUAAUCGGAAUUACUGGGCGUAAAGCGUGCGCAGGCGGUUUUGUAAGACGGAUGUGAAAUCCCCGGGCUUAACCCGGGAACUGCAUUCGUGACUGCAAGGCUAGAGUAUGGCAGAGGGUGGUAGAAUUCCACGUGUAGCAGUGAAAUGCGUAGAGAUGUGGAGGAAUACCGAUGGCGAAGGCAGCCCCCUGGGCCAAUACUGACGCUCAUGCACGAAAGCGUGGGGAGCAAACA